rnacentral:lncRNA from 1 species
UUUAAAGCAAAUGAAUUAUAAAGUUGAGCAUGUUCAUGCAUCAUGAAUGCCAUAUGAUGAAUUAGGUUGUCUGCAUUAGAAUUCACGAAUAUGUUGCAUUGCAUUUAUGAUGUUGAUGUGGAUUGGUCAUUGAAUGAUCCUUUAGUCCUCAUAUGGUAUGAUGAUGCUACGGCAUGAGAUGGUAUGGAAGUCCAGGUUGUACCCAUUCUACGUCCCUGGCACUAUGUAAGAGAAAGUCCAGGUUGUACCCAUUCUACGUCCCUGGCACA